CCUACGGGUGUCAGCAGUGAGGAAUAUUGGUCAAUGGCCGUAAGUCUGAACCAGCCAAGUAGCGUGAGGGAAGACUGCCCUAUGGGUUGUAAACCUCUUUUAUGCGGGAAUAAAGGUUUCCACGUGUGGCUUUUUGCAUGUACCGCAUGAAUAAGGACCGGCUAAUUCCGUGCCAGCAGUCGCGGUAAUACGGAAGGUCCUGGCGUUAUCCGGAUUUAUUGGGUUUAAAGGGAGCGUAGGCCGGUCUUUAAGCGUGCCGUGAAAUUUUGUGGCUCAACCAUGAGAGUGCGGCGCGAACUGGAGACCUUGAGUGCGCGGAAGGCAGGCGGAAUUCGUGGUGUAGCGGUGAAAUGCUUAGAUAUCACGAAGAACCCCGAUUGCGAAGGCAGCCUGCCGAAGCGUUACUGACGCUGAAGCUCGAAAGCGUGGGUAUCGAACAGGAUUAGAUACCCCUGUAGUC
rnacentral:rRNA from 1 species